UACGGAGGGUGCAAGCGUUAUCCGGAAUUAUUGGGCGUAAAGAGCUCGUAGGCGGUUUGUCGCGUCUGCCGUGAAAGUCCGGGGCUCAACUCCGGAUCUGCGGUGGGUACGGGCAGACUAGAGUGAUGUAGGGGGAGACUGGAAUUCCUGGUGUAGCGGUGAAAUGCGCAGAUAUCAGGAGGAACACCGAUGGCGAAGGCAGGUCUCUGGGCAUUAACUGACGCUGAGGAGCGAAAGCAUGGGGAGCGAACAGG
rnacentral:rRNA from 1 species